CGGCAGCGCGGGCGGGGGUAACCUCGCCUGGCGGAGUGGUGAGUAAUAUAUCGGAACGUACCCAAGAGUGGGGGAUAACGUAGCGAAAGUUAGCUAAUACCGCAUACGAUCCACGGAUGAAAGUGGGGGACCGCAAGGCCUCACGCUCCUGGAGCGGCCGAUGUCUGAUUAGCUAGUUGGUGAGGUAAAGGCUCACCAAGGCGACGAUCAGUAGCUGGUCUGAGAGGACGACCAGCCACACUGGGACUGAGACACGGCCCAGACUCCUACGGGAGGCAGCAGUGGGGAAUUUUGGACAAUGGGCGCAAGCCUGAUCCAGCAAUGCCGCGUGAGUGAAGAAGGCCUUCGGGUUGUAAAGCUCUUUUGUCCGGGAAGAAAUCGCUGUGGUGAAUAACUAUGGCGGAUGACGGUACUGGAAGAAUAAGCACCGGCUAACUACGUGCCAGCAGCCGCGGUAAUACGUAGGGUGCAAGCGUUAAUCGGAAUUACUGGGCGUAGAGCGUGCGCAGGCGGUUUUCCAAGACAGAUGUGAAAUCCCCGGGCUCAACCUGGGAAUGGCAUUUGUGACUGGGAGCUAGAGUGGUCAGAGGUAGAAUUCCACGUGUAGCAGUGAAAUGCGUA
rnacentral:rRNA from 1 species